rnacentral:rRNA from 1 species
UACGGAGGGUGCGAGCGUUAUCCGGAUUCACUGGGUUUAAAGGGUGCGUAGGUGGGCAGGUAAGUCAGUGGUGAAAUCUCCGGGCUUAACCCGGAAACUGCCAUUGAUACUAUCUUUCUUGAAUACCGUGGAGGUCAGCGGAAUAUGUCAUGUAGCGGUGAAAUGCUUAGAUAUGACAUAGAACACCAAUUGCGAAGGCAGCUGGCUACACGAAUAUUGACACUGAUGCACGAAAGCGUGGGGAUCAAACAGG